ACAUACCUGCACACAUCCAGAACCAGCAGCAAACCUCUCCUAAGCAGCAGAUCUACACAAAGCAGCCAAGGUCCUUUAAUUGGACCUCAACAUUCAACUACAACCUCAAGUACACAGGCUAAUUCCUUAUUAGUGUUGAAAUCAGAAUAGUGCUAAUGACUUAAGCAGAACCACCUGUAUUGCCACUUAUUAAAAUUUUUAACAUUUUGAAGCCAAAGGGACCUAUAUGUAAGGUCUAGUCUCACCUCUUUCCUAACAGUGACAGCUGAAUUUCCCCUGAGAAACUCUCCUCCAGGAAUGAAAGAAUUCCAGCAUAAUUUGUUUGAAAAAAGCAAACAAACAAACAAAAACUCAAUGAAAAUGAAACUAUCCCAAGUCUGGUCAUCAGCCCCGGCCAAACACCACCUGCUCCUACACAGACCAUUCUUCUUCAAAAAGCCAACCUGGAGCUUUGAAAUGUGGCAGAAUUUGCUACGGACAGAUCGUCACAGCUGAUGAAAAUUAACACAACUUCGCCAAAAUCAGAGGGUCUUAAUCAGUUCUUCAGCUGAGGAACCAAUGCUUUAGGGAGAACAAUAAAGAAAAGGGGAAGGACUAACAUCUAUAAAGAAACACCUUGGAAAAAAAUGGAGGCUAUUUCAUUUCUUGCAUGGACACUACUUGAACAGAAAGAUGCACUCCCUCAAUGAGAUUGCAAAAAGCAAGUGAGAAUAUGGUUGAAUUGAUGAAGGGCAAAGAAGAUGAUCAAACUGCAGAAAACAAGGCAGCAGAGACAUAAAGAGGACUAUGCUUCACUGAGGAUUUCAUUGAAGACUGACAGAGUUUCAAAGCACUGACCACAGCUUCAGAUCUGAGAUUGAGAGAUGGUGAGGCAGAGCUCCUCCUAGAACACACUACUGUAAUUUUGAUGCUGCAAGAUACAUUGCACUCAGAACAUUACAUAUUCGGUAGUUUCAAUAAUUCAGAAUACUAC
ensembl:lncRNA